rnacentral:rRNA from 1 species
CACGUAGGGGGCAAGCGUUGUCCGGAUUUAUUGGGCGUAAAGAGCUCGUAGGCGGCCUAGUAAGUCGGGUGUGAAACCUCCAGGCUCAACCUGGAGACGCCACCCGAUACUGCUGUGGCUAGAGUCCGGUAGGGGAGCGUGGAAUUCCUGGUGUAGCGGUGAAAUGCGCAGAUAUCAGGAGGAACACCAGCGGCGAAGGCGGCGCUCUGGGCCGGUACUGACGCUGAGGAGCGAAAGCGUGGGGAGCAAACAGG